rnacentral:tRNA from 3 species
GCCGGGAUAGCUCAGUCGGUAGAGCGACUGAUUCGUAAUCAGUAGGUCGGAGGUUCGAUUCCUCUUUCCGGCACCA